CCCAACUAUCCCUAUUAAUCAUUACAACGGUCCUAGAACCAACAAAAUAGAACCAUCGUCCUAUUCCAUUAUUCCAUGCUAAUGUAUUCGAGCAUAUUUGCCUGCUUUGAACACUCUAAUUUUUUCACAGUAAAAGUCCUGGUUCCCCGACACAACCAAUUAAGGCCAUGCCGCUUCGCCAGAAGGUAGGACCCACCCAAGGACAGUACACACCAAUUAAGGCGGACCGUCUGGACAGGCCUGAAGUUCAACUACGAGCUUUUUAACUGCAACAACUUUAAUAUACGCUAUUGGAGCUGGAAUUACCGCGGCUGCUGGCACCAGACUUGCCCUCCAA
rnacentral:misc_RNA from 2 species